UCUAUAUCUAUAUCAUUCAUCUAUUAUCUGUCUAUCAUCAAUCAAUCCUCUAUGUACCUAUUACCUAACAUCUAUCACCUGUAUAUCCAUUAUAUCAUAUGUCUGUCUGUCUUUCGUCUAUCAUCUAUCAUCCAGCCAUGUCUAUCUACCUAUGUCUCUGUAUUUCUUUUCUCACUUUUCUUUCCUUCUGUCUGUCAGUUAGCUGGGUGUGUCCCUGGAUCUGGCCCCUUCCCUGUAUGUGAAGCAGACUCUGCCUUCCAUGGAUGCAGCUGGGGAGGCAGACACAAGUUCCUCACCUGCUGUGCAGUGGCUUCAGGACAGGGUUUCCGUGGCUAAUUUUGGUUCUCAACUUGACACACCCAGGGAGUCUUAAUUGAAGAAUGGCCUCCAUUCACCUGGCCUGUGAGUAUAUCUAUGUAGUGUUUUUCUGAUUGUUGAUUAAUAUUAGAUGGCUCAGCCCACUGUGGGC
rnacentral:lncRNA from 1 species